AUAGGGGAGUCACGCUGGAAUGCCGACUCUCCCAAACGCUUACGCGCCGUAGGAUGUGGCUGCGGCCGAUUAGGUAGACGGUGGGGUAACGGCCCACCGUGCCGAUAAUCGGUACGGGUUGUGAGAGCAAGAGCCCGGAGACGGAAUCUGAGACAAGAUUCCGGGCCCUACGGGGCGCAGCAGGCGCGAAACCUUUACACUGCACGCAAGUGCGAUAAGGGGACCCCAAGUGCGAGGGCAUAUAGUCCUCGCUUUUCCCGACUGUAAGGCGGUCGGGGAAUAAGAGCUGGGCAAGACCGGUGCCAGCCGCCGCGGUAAUACCGGCAGCUCAAGUGAUGACCGAUAUUAUUGGGCCUAAAGCGUCCGUAGCCGGCCACGAAGGUCUAUCGGGAAAUCCGCCAGCUCAACUGGCGGGCGUCCGGUGGAAACCACAUGGCUUGGGACCGGAAGGCUCGAGGGGUACGUCCGGGGUAGGAGUGAAAUCCCGUAAUCCUGGACGGACCACCGAUGGCGAAAGCACCUCGAGAAGACGGAUCCGACGGUGAGGGACGAAAGCUAGGGUCUCGAACCGGAUUAGAUACCCGGGUAGUCCUAGCUGUAAACGAUGCUCGCUAGGUGUGGCACAGGCUACGAGCCUGUGCUGUGCCGUA
rnacentral:rRNA from 1 species